rnacentral:rRNA from 1 species
AGAGUUUGAUCCUGGCUCAGGACGAACGCUGGCGGCGUGCUUAAUACAUGCAAGUCGAGCGAGGUUACUGCGACAGAUCCCUUCGGGGUGAAGUUGCUUUAGCCUAGCGGCGGACGGGUGAGUAACGCGUGGGUAACCUACCCUAAAGUUCGGGAUAACAGCGGGAAACCGCUGCUAAUACCGGAUGCCUUUACCGUGUGGCAUCACAAGGUAAAGAAAGGUAACGCUUUAGGAUGGGCCCGCGUCCCAUUAGCUAGUUGGUGAGGUAACAGCUCACCAAGGCGACGAUGGAUAGCCGGCCUGAGAGGGUGACCGGCCACACUGGGACUGAGACACGGCCCAGACUCCUACGGGAGGCAGCAGUAGGGAAUUUUCGGCAAUGGGGGAAACCCUGACCGAGCAACGCCGCGUGAGGGAUGAAGGCCUUCGGGUCGUAAACCUCUGUCUUUGGGGACGAUAAUGACGGUACCCGAGGAGGAAGCCCCGGCUAACUACGUGCCAGCAGCCGCGGUAAUACGUAGGGGGCGAGCGUUGUCCGGAAUUACUGGGCGUAAAGGGCGUGUAGGCGGCCUGUUAAGUCAGGCGUGAAAACCCCGGGCUUAACCUGGGGACUGCGUUUGAAACUGGCGGGCUUGAGGGCAGGAGAGGAAAGUGGAAUUCCCGGUGUAGCGGUGAUAUGCGUAGAUACCGGGAGGAACACCAGUGGCGAAGGCGGCUUUCUGGACUGCACCUGACGCUGAGGCGCGAAAGCCAGGGGAGCGAACGGGAUUAGAUACCCCGGUAGUCCUGGCCGUAAACGAUGGGUACUAGGUGUGGGAGGUAUCGACUCCUUCCGUGCCGGAGUUAACACAAUAAGUACCCCGCCUGGGGAGUACGGCCGCAAGGCUGAAACUCAAAGGAAUUGACGG